UUUGAAGCUGUUCUGUUCGUGCUCACUCUUUGUUGACACAUAAUUAUAGUGACUGUACAAAUUUAAGCAAGAUAUACAAAAUAAAAUUUAUUUAAAAUUAGUAUUUGAAAUUAAAACAAUACGCGGCACGUUGUAGUACUUUGCAAUAGUCAAUUUCAAUAGUCAGUUUAACAAUAAUCCAUUGCACAUAGGAUUCAGUGGAGUAAAAAGUAUCUCUCAUCAUCUCUCCCGGCACUCGAGAUCAUCGCCAGUGUGAAACUCUGAAGCAGACCGCAGUCUCCAGCUAAUCGGUCAGUUAAGCCAUUUGGAAUUUCGACUAGCCCAUACCGAGGCACGCCCACGCCCACGCAACGGUCAAGACAAUCGAUCCGAGCAUAAUCGCCUUUCGUUGCCCGAGUUGAAAAAGCGAACGGCAGCCAUAGAGCGUUGAUGAAUGAACGAUUUAUCAAUCCAUCCGAGCUGAAACAAGAGGCAUUCACUUGAAAGUGACUGCUAAAGCUGCUGCAACUUUAAUAGACGAGGAAACUUUCACUUCGCUUCGCAACUUGCAACGGUGAUGGAUCACCCGCACUUUGUAGAGCCGUCACAAUAUGUUGUCACGCGGCUCUGCGUCUUAGCACUGUACAUCGUCCCUAUAAUGUGCUUGAACGUUUUCUUUUUGCUGCUCCUGCUGCUGCUGCUUGACUUUGCUGCUCCUGCGUCCUGAUGCAGUCGUUGUGGCAACACGCUCGAAAAUCCUUCCCUAACAAGCCGUAUUAAAAAGUUCCGAGUGCGAAUGCAAAAAUGCACACAAACACACGUACACACAUGCACACACACACACACACACAAACACACACACACACAGGCAUAUGCAUAUAUAUCACAUUGCACUGGCAAAGAUUGAGAGAAUAGUGGCGUGCGAUGUGGACCUGGGGCUGGUUGGGCUUCUCUAGCGCCCGAGACAUCUUAUUACGUUGUUUUAUGGGCUACUAAGAAAUCAAGCAUCACGAGCCACUGACCCGCCCGGCCACCCCAACCGCCAGAGACUGAGAGUGUGUGGUGGGCCCAGUGCCCAGUGGCAGAUCUUGUCCAGCUGCAGCGUGGACCCUCUUGGCCAGCAAAAAAGAUUAAUGACUUUUAUAAAAUUUAUUAUUGCACUUGCCGCCACAAUGACGUCGCUGCAUUACCUAGCUGCCCCUUGGCGUACCACCACUCUCCACUCUCCACUAGCCGCCGCCUCCUUGGCCGCGUCCUGCUGCUUGACAUUUGAAAAUCGUUGGGAAUUUUCAAUAGGGCUAUAAAUUUGCCGUUGCUCCAGCUGCUGGCUACCCCUUCAAGUAGCUCACUUAUUGCGCAAUUGCCAGUGCACUGUGUCACACACACACAUACACACACACACACGCACACACGCAAACACAUACAUACACAUUUAGUCCUUCAGUCUGACAUUCAAAUUCUGCUCGGCUUGCCAUAGGCAGGCAGCACGUUUCAGCUCAGCUCUCAGCUGUAUCUUGGCUUAAUUAAAACCAAGAUGUUUUACAGUCUUCAUCUAUUCUGAUUUGGCUCGAAAAGAAAACUCAAUUGCAUUCCACUGGAGCUUAUAUAGGGUGUUUCUUUGUUUAUUAAAAGUUACGGCUUGUAUCCGAAUAAUUUAAAUAAUGAA